GACGAACGCUGGCGGCGUGCCUAAUACAUGCAAGUAGAACGCUGAAGAGAGGAGCUUGCUCUUCUUGGAUGAGUUGCGAACGGGUGAGUAACGCGUAGGUAACCUGCCUUGUAGCGGGGGAUAACUAUUGGAAACGAUAGCUAAUACCGCAUAACAAUGGAUGACCCAUGUCAUUUAUUUGAAAGGGGCAAAUGCUCCACUACAAGAUGGACCUGCGUUGUAUUAGCUAGUAGGUGAGGUAACGGCUCACCUAGGCGACGAUACAUAGCCGACCUGAGAGGGUGAUCGGCCACACUGGGACUGAGACACGGCCCAGACUCCUACGGGAGGCAGCAGUAGGGAAUCUUCGGCAAUGGGGGCAACCCUGACCGAGCAACGCCGCGUGAGUGAAGAAGGUUUUCGGAUCGUAAAGCUCUGUUGUAAGUCAAGAACGAGUGUGAGAGUGGAAAGUUCACACUGUGACGGUAGCAUACCAGAAAGGGACGGCUAACUACGUG
rnacentral:rRNA from 1 species